rnacentral:rRNA from 1 species
GAUGAACGCUGGCGGCGUGCUUAACACAUGCAAGUCGAGCGGAGCGGCGAACGGGCGAGUAACGCUUGAGUAAUUGGCCACCUCUCUGGGAUAACAGUUGGAAACGUCUGCUAAUACCGGAUAGUGGGGGAUGACUCGCGUCCUAUCAGCUUGUUGGUGGGGUAGGGGCCUACCAAGGCGACGACGGGUUGCCGGCCUGAGAGGGGGAUCGGCCACAUUAGGCUGAGAUACGGCACAAACUCGUACGGGGGGCAGCAGUGGAGAAUAUUACACAAUGAGGGAACGCCUGAUGCGGCAACGCCGCGUGCGGGAUGACCGCAGUCGGGUUGUAAACCGCUUUCAGCCAUGACGCGGUAGUGGCAGAAGAAGCACCGGCUAACUACGUGCCAGCAGCCGCGGUAAUAC